GUGGGGGAUAGCUCGGGGAAACUCGAAUUAAUACCGCAUACGACCUACGGGUGAAAGGGGGCGCAAGCUCUUGCUAUUAGAUGAGCCUAAAUCAGAUUAGCUAGUUGGUGGGGUAAAGGCCCACCAAGGCGACGAUCUGUAACUGGUCUGAGAGGAUGAUCAGUCACACCGGAACUGAGACACGGUCCGG
rnacentral:rRNA from 1 species